UGGUCCUUUUCAACCCAGCAGUUCAUGAUUCUAUGAUUCUAUGCGUCUGUCCAGGUGAAAGAAGCCAAGCUUCCCUUACGUAGCUUAGAAUCUGACCUUGUCAAUAGCACUUAUUUGUAUCAUUUUUAUCCACCGAUUGAGUGAACUUCCUAAAUGGAGUCCUUUCAAAAAUCACUCCAUGUUAUGAUGCUUUGUUUUGUUACAGGACACGUACAAAGUCAAAGCUACUUUGACAAGGGGCAGCUGUGCCCAUCAGUGCUCUUGCAGGCAUUCUUGGGUCAGCUGGAUGUGGGUGUGGACCAUGUGCUGUGCUGGGUGCAAAAGCGCUUGCUGUAGAGUCAAAUGAAGAUGACAACACUCUGGAAGGAGUUUGGUGAUGAUAAUGGGCAGCUUCCUGCUUCUUGACAGAAAGAGCACUCCUCUCCAGAGAUGAUCCUCCUGUCUGCAGCCAAGGCAGUAGUUUUGCUGUAGUUUUGUUGCUUUUCCAGGUAAGAUUCUUAAGGCAAGGACUUAACUUUUAUGCCUUUUUUGUCUUGGAUGCUAGCUAGAUGUGUAAGUAAAUUACUUCUUGGGAGAUAGAUAAAUCCCAUUCACACAAAUAGGCUGGAGAACUGUUCUCUUUUACUUCUUGAGGUAGAGGAUUUGGCAUUUCUAAUACAAGUUCCACUUGGACACCUAUAGAACUUCCUUACCUUUAACGCAGUGGUUGUCAGAAUGUCAAGGAGAAAAAAGUUUUCAAAUGAGAAAGAUAGCAGUUGCCACCUACCCUACCCCUGGAAUUCUCUCUCUGCUGUUGUUAUCCAAGACCUAGCUGCAAUGUACGUACCUGAGACCUCUAGCACUGGCUAUGUAAAUAGCAUUAUCUUUUUGCUCUGGUCACAAAACCCAGCUUGUUUUACAUGAUAGAAGAUAGAUCAGAACUCACAUACAGUUUGUCCACUGCCAGGGUUGGGAUACCCAAUGGGUCAGCCAGAAACGCUUCUUGUGAUGAGAGGUUGUCCUCGUGGGCUGUGGCUUGGUAAAACCUCCACUUCAUCACUCAGAUUCUCCCUCUUCCUGGUACCUGUGCUAUCUGUCUAGGGUUUUCCACUCGGUGUUGGAAUGAAGAUGCUUCCUUUUGUAGCCAAGAGUUGUCUCUAAUUCAGCUGAAAGGCAGGGCUAUUGGAAUGUGAUGCUGUCUACGUAGGUACAAACGUACUUACAGCGUUCUGCUGAAUUAUACAUACAUUUUAUCUACAUCAGUACUAUUCAUCGUAAUUGUUGAAUAAACAAAGCAUUAUAAACUGUAAUGAAAUAUUCAUAGAAUCACAAAACAGCUUGGAUUUAAAGGGACCUCAAAGCCCAGCCAGCUCCACCCUGUGCUGUGGGCAGUGCCACCCACCAGAUCCAGCUGCCCAGGGCCCCAUCCAACCUGGCCUUGAAUGCCUCCAGGAAUGGAGAAAAAGUAAUGUGUAAGGCAUUGUGAUAGUGGAAAGAUGGAUUCUUACCUUCUACACGUAAAUAGACCAGCACUGCUAUCUUAUCUUGAUUACUUUCAGUGAAUCAUCAGUGGAAUGCAGAAGGGAAUGUCGCAAAGACCCUGACCACAAACUGAAAAAUAUUUCUUUUAAUGCUCACCUCCCUAUUUACACCUUUGGUUUGUACUCCCAUUUUUAACAGAACAUGCACCCAUAAAUCAUAGAGUCAUAGAAUCACCAAAGUUGGAAGAGACCUCCAAAACCAUUGAGUCCAAC
rnacentral:lncRNA from 1 species